UACGUAGGGGGCUAGCGUUGUCCGGAAUCAUUGGGCGUAAAGAGCGCGUAGGCGGCUAGAUAAGUCCGGUGUGAAAGUCACAGGCUCAACCUGUGAAUGCCGCUGGAAACUGUCUGCUAGAGUCCGGAAGGGGCGAGUGGAAUUCCUGGUGUAGCGGUGAAAUGCGCAGAUAUCAGGAGGAACACCAAUGGCGAAGGCAGCUCGCUGGGACGGUACUGACGCUGAGGCGCGAAAGCGUGGGGAGCAAACAGG
rnacentral:rRNA from 1 species